AUUGAACGCUGGCGGCAGGCUUAACACAUGCAAGUCGAACGAGUGGCGGACGGGUGAGUAAUGCCUGGGAAUCUACCUUAUGGAGGGGGAUAACUACGGGAAACUGUAGCUAAUACCGCGUACCAUAGGAUGAGCCCAAGUGGGAUUAGGUAGUUGGUGAGGUAAAGGCUCACCAAGCCGACGAUCCCGAGCUGGUCUGAGAGGAUGACCAGCCAUACUGGGACUGAGACACGGACCAGAAUCCUACGGGAGGCAGCAGUGGGGAAUAUUGCGCACUGGGGGCAACCUGACGCAGCCAUGCCGCGUGAAUGAAGAAGGCCUUCGGGUUGUAAAGUUCUUUCGGUAGCGAGGCGUUAACUACAGAAGAAGCACCGGCUAACUCCGUGCCAGCAGCCGCGGUAAUUC
rnacentral:rRNA from 1 species